rnacentral:tRNA from 3 species
GGGAGUGUCGCAUAGUGGCUAUUGCACCAGACUGUAACUCUGUCGCCUUCGGGCAUCGAUGGUUCGAGUCCAUCCACUCCCA